GCGAAAGUGGCGGAAUUGGCAGACGCGCUGGACUUAGGAUCCAGUGGCUUAAUCGCCGUGGGGGUUCGAGUCCCCCCUUUCGCACCA
rnacentral:tRNA from 1 species